GACGAACGCUGGCGGCGUGCUUAACACAUGCAAGUCGAACGGAAAGGCCCUGCUUUUGUGGGGUGCUCGAGUUGCGAACGGGUGAGUAACACGUGAGUAACCUGCCCUUGACUUUGGGAUGACUUCAGGAAAGUGGGGCUAAUACCGGAUAGGAGCUCCUGCUGCUGGGUGGGGGUUGGAUAGUUUAGGCGGUUGGGGAUGGACUGGCGUCUCAUCAGCUUGGUGGUUGGGUAGUGGCUUACCAAGGCUUUGACGGGUAGCCGGCCUGGGAGGGGGACCGGACAAAUUGGGAUGGGGAUAAGGCCCAGACUCGUACGGGAGGGAGGGGAGCGGAAGAGUGUACAAUGGGAUGAAGCAUGAUGUAAUCAAGCCGCGUCGGGGAAGAGGGCAAUGGGGUAGUAAUGUGAUUUCGUCUGAGACGAAGCGAGAGUGACGGUAACGGGUAAAGAAGCACCGGCUAACUACGUG
rnacentral:rRNA from 1 species